rnacentral:sRNA from 1 species
ACCAUUCAGUUGAUUCCUGAAGUUCAAACUAGCAACACCUUCGGAAAUGAACUCCAAAUUCUAAGUGAUUUUCGGUUGCCUUACAAAAUUUAAAUUUCUCGGCUAGUUUUAAGAACAAAGUUUCGUUUUUUAAAAUUAUUCUUAAGCUCAAAGUGAUAUUCUUUCCACCGGAAAAGUCGUAUUAUAUCGUAAACACCAACUCAGAAACACACAGAUGACUAGACUCUUUUCUUUCUCCUGGUAAAUGGUAGCACCAUCACUGAAUACUCUUCAAUCAUGAUCUUUUUACACUUACUUAUGUUGAUUCAUACUUCCUGGACGAACUUACAUAAGCGAAAAUAAUACUAUAACACUAUAACCUAUAAUACUGAUCAACACUUAAAGCUCUCUGGACUCAACUGAAUACCAACCCCAGUUCGUGGGAUAUAUAUGGUUAUAUUAUACGUUAAUUCAUACAUCCCGGACGAACUUACAUAAGCGAAAAUAAUACUAAAACACUAUAACCUACAAUACUGAUCAACACUUAAAGCUCUCUGGACUCAACUGAAUACCAACCCCAGUUCGCGGGAUAUAUAUGGUUAUGUUAUACGUUAAUUCAUACUUCCCGGACAAACUUAAGCGAAAAUAAUACUAAAACACUAUAACCUAUAAUACUGAUCAACACUUAGAGCUCUCUCUCUCUCUCUCUACCAACCCCAGUAUAUGGAAUAUGUUAUACUAAAUAAUAUAAAAAUAAUAAAUGUACCUUU